rnacentral:rRNA from 1 species
AAUAGAUACCCCGGUAGUCCAUGCCGUAAACGUUGGGAACUAGAUGUGGGGACCAUUCCACGGUCUCCGUGUCGCAGCUAACGCAUUAAGUUCCCCGCCUGGGGAGUACGGCCGCAAGGCUAAAACUCAAAGGAAUUGACGGGGGCCCGCACAAGCGGCGGAGCAUGCGGAUUAAUUCGAUGCAACGCGAAGAACCUUACCAAGGCUUGACAUAUACGAGAACGCUGUAGAAAUGUAGAACUCUUUGGACACUCGUAUACAGGUGGUGCAUGGUUGUCGUCAGCUCGUGUCGUGAGAUGUUGGGUUAAGUCCCGCAACGAGCGCAACCCUCGUCGUAUGUUGCCAGCACGUAAUGGUGGGAACUCAUAUGAGACUGCCGGGGUCAACUCGGAGGAAGGUGGGGAUGAGGUCAAAUCAUCAUGCCCCUUAUGUCUUGGGCUUCACGCAUGCUACAAUGGCCGGUACAAAGGGCUGCAAUACCGCAAGGUGGAGCGGAUCCCAAAAAGCCGGUCUCAGUUCGGA